AACGAACGCUGGCGGCGUGCUUAACACAUGCAAGUCGAGCGCGAAAGGGGGGGCAACUCCCCGAGUAGAGCGGCGCACGGGUGAGUAACGCGUGGGUAACCUGCCCCCGGGCGGGGGAUAACUACUCGAAAGGGUGGCUAAUACCGCAUGAGACCACGGGGUCUUCGGAUCCUGAGGCCAAAGGCGGCGCCGGCUUGCCGGCGCUGUCACCUGGGGAUGGGCCCGCGUAAGAUUAGCUAGUUGGCAGGGUAACGGCCUACCAAGGCUCCGAUCGUUAGCUGGUCUGAGAGGAUGGCCAGCCACACUGGAACUGAAACACGGUCCAGACUCCUACGGGAGGCAGCAGUGAGGAAUAUUGCGCAAUGGGGGAAACCCUGACGCAGCAACGCCGCGUGGGUGAAGAAGGCCUUCGGGUCGUAAAGCCCUUUCGGACGGGACGAACGCCUCGCGGGGACAAACCGCGAGGCUUGACGGUACCGUAGGAAGAAGCACCGGCUAACUCCGUGCCAGCCGCCGCCGUAAAAC
rnacentral:rRNA from 1 species